AUAUAAGUUCUAAAGUUUCAGUAUAGUUACAAAGUUACAAGUUACAAAAUAAAUGUCGCUUAAACCAAAUAGCCCUCGAAUAUGGUCACAUAAGUGACCAAUCUCAUUAUCACCAAAAUUUAGAUAUUGUACCAACCCAGCAGCUAGCCGCCUUAUCAAUAGUGAGCCUUGCCUUAUUAGAGGCAAUUAAAAAAAAUUGCUGACAAGGGUAAAUACAUUACACUACAUACAUACCUAAAGUACAGUAGUAGUAUUGUUUUUCAAUUUAUACAUCAUGCUGACGCAAUCAUAAUAUAAUUAAUGUUUUUUUUCAAUUUAUACAUGAUGCUGACGCAAUCAUAAUGUAAUGAAUGUUUUGGACACAAUACUAUCCUUGUAUUAUAUUAAUCAUGAAUAAAAUUAAAAUUACUCAACCAUUUAACAUGUAGUACCUACAAAUAAAUAUUUGUACACCGAUUUUUGUGAUAAUAUCUACACUAUAAUGUUUAAUAUAAAAUAUGAGAUUCGUUAACAUAAUAUGAAACUAAGGUUAUGUUGGACCGUGAAGCUUGUAAUUAAAAUUAUUUCAAUGUGCACAAGUAUCAUAAAUGAAUGUUUACCGUAAUCAAUAACUAUUCACUUGGUUUACAAUUUACUACAAAGUACACAGAAGUUAAACAUAUUUUUAAUACAACACACACACACCAGAAUUCUGAUACUGACUUGAAAACGACAACGUGGUCGUACUAGCGCUGUACUUUCUAAAAAAAUAUACGAUAGCCGGUCGCGAGCUAAAAUAUCGUUUCAUACUACGUUGCCACGUAACAACGACAAAGUUAAGUUUUAAACUUGUUGGCGCGAGCAAUGUAUGCUAGGUUCUUUUAUAGAGACAGAUAAGCCUAUAGUCCAAGAUACGUAAAAAUCAGCUUUCAGAAUUUACUUGAAGUUCCUAAUGAUUUUAUGUACCUUGAUUACCUGAUACCUGAAAAUUUGUCGUCUAAGCAAGCUACCAGGAUAGCCGUUGGAGCUAAUGUGGAUCUCCACGACGACAUGAACCUCGAGUCCAGUGUAUAGUCAUGCCGCCAAGUCACAUAUUAACACGCCCCCUACCGCCACUGCACGAGCCAAAGCUAACGAAGGGGGGAUAGUGUUAAUAAAACAAGCCUUGCCAGCCAUUUCUACCCACUUUCUGCUUUCUCGCAGAAAUAAAUGAAUUUGUCGUUA